rfam:Gossypium hirsutum cultivar TM-1 unplaced genomic scaffold scaffold1852.1, whole genome shotgun sequence
AAGCCAUGACGACACCUGCGCUCUAGUGAAGGCUAGGGUUCUUCGCAAUCGGCUGAUCUUCAGACGACAGUAGCAGCGCUUCUGAGCUU